rnacentral:rRNA from 1 species
CUGGCGGCGUGGAUAAGACAUGCAAGUCGAACGGGAUAUUGUUUGUAGCAAUACAAGCGAUGUCCAGUGGCGCAAGGGUGAGUAACACGUGGGUAAUCUACCGAGAAGUGGGGGAUAGCUCGCCGAAAGGCGAAUUAAUACCGCAUGUGGCUAGGGAAGACAUCUUCCCGACGCCAAAGCCGGGGCAACCUGGCGCUUCUUGAUGAACCCGCGGCCUAUCAGCUAGUUGGUGAGGUAACGGCUCACCAAGGCUAUGACGGGUAGCUGGUCUGAGAGGACGACCAGCCACACUGGAACUGAGACACGGUCCAGACACCUACGGGUGGCAGCAGUCGAGAAUUUUUCUCAAUGGGCGCAAGCCUGAAGGAGCGACGCCGCGUGGAGGAUGAAGGUCUUCGGAUUGUAAACUCCUGUCAUUUGAGAACAAAGCUUCCGGUUAACUGCCGGCGAGCCCGAUAGUACCAGAAGAGGAAGAGACGGCUAACUCUGUGCCAGCAGCCGCGGUAAUACAGAGGUCUCAAGCGUUGUUCGGAUUCAUUGGGCGUAAAGGGUGCGUAGGUGGCAAGGUAAGUCGGGUGUGAAAUCCCGGGGCUCAACCCCGGAACUGCACUCGAUACUGCCAUGCUCAAGUACUGGAGAGGAGACUGGAAUUUACGGUGUAGCAGUGAAAUGCGUAGAUAUCGUAAGGAAGACCAGUGGCGAAGGCGAGUCUCUGGACAGUUACUGACACUGAGGCACGA